rnacentral:rRNA from 1 species
UACGUAGGGGGCAAGCGUUGUCCGGAUUUAUUGGGCGUAAAGAGCGUGUAGGCGGCCAAGCAGGUCAGCUGUGAAAACUCGAGGCUCAACCUCGAGACGUCGGUUGAAACCGCUUGGCUAGAGUCCGGAAGAGGAGAGUGGAAUUCCCGGUGUAGCGGUGAAAUGCGUAGAUAUCGAGAGGAACACCUGCGGCGAAGGCGGGUUGCUGGGCCGACACUGACGCUGAUGCGCGAAAGCCAGGGGAGCGAACGGG